rnacentral:tRNA from 1 species
GGCAGCGUGUCCGAGUAGUUAAGGAGACCCGCUCAAGACGGGUUGGACAUAUGUCCGCGCAGGUGCAAAUCCUGUCGCUGCUA